CCUACGGGUGGCAGCAGUGGGGAAUAUUGCACAAUGGGGGCAACCCUGAUGCAGCGACGCCGCGUGAGUGAAGAAGUAUUUCGGUACGUAAAGCUCUAUCAGCAGGGAAGAAAAUGACGGUACCUGUCUAUGAAGCCCCGGCUAACUACGUGCCAGCAGCCGCGGUAAUACGCAGGGGGCAAGCGUUAUCCGGAUUUACUGGGUGUAAAGGGAGCGUAGACGGCUGCGCAAGUCUGGGGUGAAAUCCCUUGGCUUAACCAUGGAACUGCUUUGGAAACUGUGCAGCUAGAGUGCAGUAGAGGUAGGCGGAAUGCCUGGUGUAGCGGUGAAAUGCGUAGAUAUUAGGAGGAACACCAGUGGCGAAGGCGGCUUACUGGACUGUGACUGACGUUGAGGCUCGAAAGCGUGGGGAGCAAACAGGAUUAGAUACCCCAGUAGUC
rnacentral:rRNA from 1 species